UACGGGGGGGGCAAGCGUUGUUCGGAAUUACUGGGCGUAAAGGGCUCGUAGGCGGCCAACUAAGUCAGACGUGAAAUCCCCAGGCUUAACCUGGGAACUGCGUCUGAUACUGGAUGGCUUGAAUUCGGGAGAGGGAUGCAGAAUUCCAGGUGUAGCGGUGAAAUGCGUAGAUAUCAAGUGGAACACCAGUGGCGAAGGCGAGUCUCUGGACAUUUCCUGACGCUGAGGCACGAAAGCCAGGGGAGCAAACGGG
rnacentral:rRNA from 1 species